rnacentral:rRNA from 1 species
GGUUAAGCGACUAAGCGUACACGGUGGAUGCCCUGGCAGUCAGAGGCGAUGAAGGACGUGCUAAUCUGCGAUAAGCGUCGGUAAGGUGAUAUGAACCGUUAUAACCGGCGAUUUCCGAAUGGGGAAACCCAGUGUGUUUCGACACACUAUCAUUAACUGAAUCCAUAGGUUAAUGAGGCGAACCGGGGGAACUGAAACAUCUAAGUACCCCGAGGAAAAGAAAUCAACCGAGAUUCCCCCAGUAGCGGCGAGCGAACGGGGAGCAGCCCAGAGCCUGAAUCAGUGUGUGUGUUAGUGGAAGCGUCUGGAAAGGCGCGCGAUACAGGGUGACAGCCCCGUACACAAAAAUGCACAUGCUGUGAGCUCGAUGAGUAGGGCGGGACACGUGGUAUCCUGUCUGAAUAUGGGGGGGACCAUCCUCCAAGGCUAAAUACUCCUGACUGACCGAUAGUGAACCAGUACCGUGAGGGAAAGGCGAAAAGAACCCCGGCGAGGGGAGUGAAAAAGAACCUGAAACCGUGUACGUACAAGCAGUGGGAGCACGCUUAGGCGUGUGACUGCGUACCUUUUGUAUAAUGGGUCAGCGACUUAUAUUCUGUAGCAAGGUUAACCGAAUAGGGGAGCCGAAGGGAAACCGAGUCUUAACUGGGCGUUAAGUUGCAGGGUAUAGACCCGAAACCCGGUGAUCUAGCCAUGGGCAGGUUGAAGGUUGGGUAACACUAACUGGAGGACCGAACCGACUAAUGUUGAAAAAUUAGCGGAUGACUUGUGGCUGGGGGUGAAAGGCCAAUCAAACCGGGAGAUAGCUGGUUCUCCCCGAAAGCUAUUUAGGUAGCGCCUCGUGAAUUCAUCUCCGGGGGUAGAGCACUGUUUCGGCAAGGGGGUCAUCCCGACUUACCAACCCGAUGCAAACUGCGAAUACCGGAGAAUGUUAUCACGGGAGACACACGGCGGGUGCUAACGUCCGUCGUGAAGAGGGAAACAACCCAGACCGCCAGCUAAGGUCCCAAAGUCAUGGUUAAGUGGGAAACGAUGUGGGAAGGCCCAGACAGCCAGGAUGUUGGCUUAGAAGCAGCCAUCAUUUAAAGAAAGCGUAAUAGCUCACUGGUCGAGUCGGCCUGCGCGGAAGAUGUAACGGGGCUAAACCAUGCACCGAAGCUGCGGCAGCGACACUAUGUGUUGUUGGGUAGGGGAGCGUUCUGUAAGCCUGUGAAGGUGUGCUGUGAGGCAUGCUGGAGGUAUCAGAAGUGCGAAUGCUGACAUAAGUAACGAUAAAGCGGGUGAAAAGCCCGCUCGCC